rnacentral:ncRNA from 2 species
GAAUCUCGAGUGACGGAUCUGAGUACGCCGAAGCCCUGUUAAAGAGAGAAGCUCCAUAAGCUGAAAGGAGCUUUAUCAGAAGAUCGGAGGAAGCUAAUCCUGAGUGCAGUUAAUCACUGCCGCUUAUCCUGCGUUACAGGGUUAAAGGUGACGGGCGCAUGAAUGCCCGUAAUCAGGGUGGUACCGCGAGACAGCUCUCGUCCCUGUG